UACGGGGGGGGCAAGCGUUGUUCGGAAUUACUGGGCGUAAAGGGCUCGUAGGUGGCCAACUAAGUCAGACGUGAGAUCCCCAGGCUCAACUUGGGAACUGCGUCUGAUACUGGAUGGCUUGAAUCCGGGAGAGGGAUGCGGAAUUCCAGGUGUAGCGGUGAAAUGCGUAGAUAUCUGGAGGAACACCGGUGGCGAAGGCGGCAUCCUGGACCGGCAUUGACGCUGAGGCGCGAAAGCCAGGGGAGCAAACGGG
rnacentral:rRNA from 1 species